rnacentral:rRNA from 1 species
AUUGAACGCUGGCGGCAGGCCUAACACAUGCAAGUCGAGCGAGCGGCGGACGGGUGAGUAAUGCCUAGGAAUCUGCCUGGUAGUGGGGGAUAACGUCCGGAAACGGUAGCUAAUACCGCAUACCAUCAGAUGUGCCCAGAUGGGAUUAGCUAGUAGGUGGGGUAACGGCUCACCUAGGCGACGAUCCCUAGCUGGUCUGAGAGGAUGACCAGCCACACUGGAACUGAGACACGGUCCAGACUCCUACGGGAGGCAGCAGUGGGGAAUAUUGCACAAUGGGCGCAAGCCUGAUGCAGCCAUGCCGCGUGUGUGAAGAAGGCCUUCGGGUUGUAAAGCACUUUUGUCAGGGAAGCGGUACCUGAAGAAUAAGCACCGGCUAACUACGUGCCAGCCGCCGCGGUAAUAC